rnacentral:rRNA from 1 species
ACAUCUUAGUGGCGCACGGGUGAGUAACGCGUGAAUAACCUGACCCGAAGAGGGGGAUAACACCUGGAAACAAGUGCUAAUACCGCAUAAGACCACGGACCGGCAUCGGUCAGAGGUCAAAGGAGAAAUCCGCUUUGGGAGGGGUUCGCGUCCCAUUAGGUAGUUGGUGAGGUAACGGCCCACCAAGCCGACGAUGGGUAGCCGAGCUGAGAGGCUGAUCGGCCACACUGGAACUGAGACACGGUCCAGACUCCUACGGGAGGCAGCAGUGGGGAAUAUUGGGCAAUGGGCGCAAGCCUGACCCAGCAACGCCGCGUGAGGGAAGAAGGUUUUCGGAUUGUAAACCUCUGUCGCAGGGGACGAAGGAAGUGACGGUACCCUGUAAGAAAGCCCCGGCUAACUACGUGCCAGCAGCCGCGGUAAUACGUAGGGGGCGAGCGUUGUCCGGAAUUACUGGGCGUAAAGGGAGCGUAGGCGGUCGAUUAAGUUAGAUGUGAAACCCCCGGGCUUAACUUGGGGACUGCAUCUAGUACUGGUUGACUUAGAGUACAGGAGAGGGAAGCGGAAUUCCUAGUGUAGCGGUGAAAUGCGUAGAUAUUAGGAGGAACACCAGUGGC